rnacentral:lncRNA from 1 species
UCAAGGAUGCUUCGCAGCCGCACAAGCGUCCGGCCUCGAUGACUCGUCCACGCGAAGCUCCGGAAUGAUCAGCUUCCCGGGGAGUGCUAGCUCGCAGCGAGGCAGAAAGUUGGUUGAAAGGGAGAAGAAGGAAGAAGAUGGACCUUCAUAGCUCAAGAACUCCUUCUUGGGCUUUCACCUUCAGAGCUUCUCUCUCCUCUCACUCUCUUUC